AACUUAACGUAAACGUUACCUUACGAAGGAGUAGUAGGUUGGUGCCUUCGGGAACUUAGAUACAGGUGCUGCAUGGCUGUCGUCAGCUCGUGUCGUGAGAUGUUGGGUUAAGUCCCGCAACGAGCGCAACCCUUUUCCUUAUUUGCCAGCGGGUCAUGCCGGGAACUUUAAGGAUACUGCCAGUGACAAACUGGAGGAAGGCGGGGACGACGUCAAGUCAUCAUGGCCCUUACGGCCAGGGCUACACACGUGCUACAAUGGUCGGUACAAAGGGUUGCUACCUCGCGAGAGGAUGCUAAUCUCAAAAAGCCGAUCGUAGUCCGGAUCGCAGUCUGCAACUCGACUGCGUGAAGUCGGAAUCGCUAGUAAUCGCGGAUCAGAAUGCCGCGGUGAAUACGUUCCCGGGCCUUGUACACACCGCCCGUCACACCAUGGGAGUUUGUUGCACCAGAAGUAGGUAGUCUAACCGCAAGGAGGACGCUUACCACGGUGUGGCCGAUGACUGGGGUGAAGUCGUAACAAGGUAGGCGUAGAUGA
rnacentral:rRNA from 1 species